UGAAGAGGCCCAGGGAGAGAUGACAAAGAGAAAUAUAUGGGGAUAGUUAAAAGAAAAUGAGGUGUGGUGAUACAGAUGCAGAAUCUCAGCACUUGGGAGGCAGAAGCAAGUGAUUCUUAUCUCAAGAUCAGCAUGGGCUACAGAAGUGAGAGAGGCUCAGUCUCAGAAGCCAGAUCUGUUGGUGAAGACUUGUAGUCCCAGAUAUUUGGAAGGCUGAGGCACCAUCACAGAUCUUUCAGAACUGGCAUGUAGCAGCCGGAACACAAUGAGAAGUUCUCCAGCCUGUUUCUCACUACAGAAUCAUGACGAGCAAAGAUCAGAGAAAAGACUUGCCAAGCAUUGCAAGGGAACACAAUGCAGGAGCGUCACCUCACUCUCCAUGAGGUUAGAUUUAUAUUCUUUCUAAACACCAUGCUCCCCGUCAAGUGGCUGCCUCAGCAACACAUCCUCUCAUAAGACAGCUUGCAGAGAAACAUCCCACGAUGCAACGGAGUCUCCAAAGAAACCAGGAAGUCCCACCUCACCUGGGAGUGGGGGACACUAAAAAGAUGGAGACAAGAAGUCACAGGAGCAGCAGAGAGAGACUGUAGUUACCAAAGUCUGCUAUCUCCAGGAGAUAGAAAUCUGACUGCCUAUCACACCAGCACUUCAGGAGGAGAAAGUUAGUGGUAGGAGACAAGUUUAUUCAAGGGCCAACAAUAUUGAGAAGAAGUGAAGAGGCCACCUCAAAGCUCCAUCUUGAGGAGCUCGAGGACACAAAAGGUUUUGUAGAAGGGUAGGGAGGUGCAAAGGGUAGACAAUGUUACUUAGCCAAGUCUUAGUCAUCCAGAAACCAAAUCUCUCUUUUCCUUCUCCAAAACAUAAGAACAGGCUGUUACACAGGGCUGUCCCUGCCCCUCUUUCAGAUAGACAUACUCACAGGACAGAAGACUAGGGGAUAUAUAAUAGCUAGCAUUUGUAAUUUUUAUUUAGUUUUUUAUUUUGGGUGUUUGUUUGUUUGUUUUUGAGAAAAGGUUUCACUGUGUAGCCCUGGCUGGCCUUAAACUCACAGAUAUCAGCCUGCCUCUGCCUCCUGAGUGCUAGGUAAAAGGCAUGUGCCACCAAGACUGGCUCCGAUGUAGUCAUCAUCACCAAAUCUUAGUCGUGGUAUUAGUCACUAGGAAGCAGCUAAAGGGAGAGAGGGUCUCUUCCGGCUUCCAGUUUGAGGGGAUGCGUUCCAUCACGGUGGAAAGGCAUGGUGGCUAGAGUGGAGGUUCAGCUAUUGAUAAUGCAUCUUCAGUCGAAAAGCAAAAAAAAAAGCCAGAAUACAGGGCCAGGCUAUAACCUCAAGGCCUCCCCCAGUGACCCACUUCUUCCAGCAAGGCUCCACCACCUUCCCACACAGCAUCACCAACUGGAGGCUAAACAUUCAAAUACUUAAGCCCAGGAGGGGCAUUUUGCAUUCAAACCAUGAUUGCCAACUUGAUGAGAUUGAUAAUCACCCAGGAGACACACAUCUGGGUGUUUCCAGAGAGGAUUAACUGAGGCUCCUCCUAAAUGUGAGGAGCAUCCCCAUGGGCUGAGGUCCUACACUGAAUACAGGGGGAAAGAACAUGAACAGGCCACCAGCAUUCAUGUUCCUGUGAAUGCAACAAGACGGCUUACAUCAUGCUCCCACCACCAUGAUGGGCUGCAUCCCUCCAACUGUGGACCAAGCCCUGUUGCCAACAACCUGGGCUGAGAAAGAAACGCAUUCUGUUCUAACAUCAUUUGGGCCAUGGGCACACUCAGGACAGAG
rnacentral:lncRNA from 1 species